rnacentral:rRNA from 1 species
UACGAAGGGGGGCUAGCGUUGUUCGGAAUUACUGGGCGUAAAGCGCACGUAGGCGGAUCGAUCAGUCAGGGGUGAAAUCCCAGGGCUCAACCCUGGAACUGCCUUUGAUACUGUCGAUCUGGAGUAUGGAAGAGGUGAGUGGAAUUCCGAGUGUAGAGGUGAAAAUUCGUAGAUAUUCGGAGGAACACCAGUGGCGAAGGCGGCUCACUGGUCCAUUACUGACGCUGAGGUGCGAAAGCGUGGGGAGCAAACAGG